rnacentral:rRNA from 1 species
GACGAACGCUGCGGCGUGCUUAACACAUGCAAGUCGAACGAAGAGCGACGGAAGCUUGCUUCUAUCAAUCUUAGUGGCGAACGGGUGAGUAACGCGUAAUCAACCUGCCCUUCAGAGGGGGACAACAGUUGGAAACGACUGCUAAUACCGCAUACGAUCUAAACUCGGCAUCGAGGAUAGAUGAAAGGUGGCCUCUACAUGUAAGCUAUCACUGAAGGAGGGGAUUGCGUCUGAUUAGCUAGUUGGAGGGGUAACGGCCCACCAAGGCGAUGAUCAGUAGCCGGUCUGAGAGGAUGAACGGCCACAUUGGGACUGAGACACGGCCCAGACUCCUACGGGAGGCAGCAGUGGGGAAUCUUCCGCAAUGGACGAAAGUCUGACGGAGCAACGCCGCGUGAGUGAUGACGGCCUUCGGGUUGUAAAGCUCUGUUAAUCGGGACGAAAGGCCUUCUUGCGAAUAGUGAGAAGGAUUGACGGUACCGGAAUAGAAAGCC